rnacentral:tRNA from 1 species
CAAAAUGUAGCUUAACCUAAAGCAUUCCGCUUACACCGGAAUAAUAUCCGUGAGACCCUGAUCGUUUUGA